GAUGAACGCUGGCGGCGUGCUUAACACAUGCAAGUCGAACGGAAAGGCCUCUGCUUUGUGGGGUGCUCGAGUGGCGAACGGGUGAGUAACACGUGAGUGAUCUGCCCUUCACUUCGGGAUAACUCUGGGAAACUGGGGCUAAUACCGGAUAGGAGAUCCUGCUGCAUGCUGUGGGGGGGAGAGUUUCGGCGGUGGGGGAUGGCCCCGCGUCUUAUCAGGUUGGUGGGGGGGUGGUGGUCUACCAAGGCUUCGGGGGGUAGCCGGCGUGAGAGGGUGACCGGCCACAUUGGGAGUGAGAUACGGCCCAGACUCCUACGGGAGGCAGCAGUGGGGAAUAUUGCAAAAUGGGCGGAAGCGUGAUGCAGCAACGCCGCGGGCGGGAUGACGGCCUUCGGGGUAUAAACCGCUUGCGCCUGUGACGAAGCGUGAGUGACGGUAAUUGGUAAAGAAGCACCGGCUAACUACGUG
rnacentral:rRNA from 1 species